rnacentral:rRNA from 1 species
GGAACAAGCCAUCGAUGCCCGCACACCCGGGAGGCGGCGGACCCCUCAGGACAACGGUUGCACCCCCCGCGGAGGUCCCUGCUAGCCGGACACCGCUGGCAACCCGGCGCCAAGAGCUGCGCGCAAGUGCGGGCGCCCGCGGGACG